UUGUGUGACACAAGAUGUUUUAAAUCGUAGUUAAAUUCACCCAAAUAAACAUUUGAAUUGUCCGAUUCCUGGCAGAUUUUUAAAGUUAACUUUGAGUUAACCAUUGAUUAUUUAUAUGCAGACUUCCGAGAACGAUUGAGUAUAUGUUUUUAAAUUUUUUUGUUAAGUGCCUCAAGAAAAUUUAACAUUUGUUAAGGUAUUGUCACAGAGCACCGCAGAAAAGCAUUUAACUAGAGUUUACGCCUUCUUUCUUAGCGAUGGCGCGAAAUACACACAGAGCUUGCUUAGUUAACUUAAUAGUUGACCCCUAAGUCACACUCCAUAUUUAUUGUUCCAAGUCCUUUUUGAUUGCCGUCUAUAUCAAGCUUGGAGAACAAGCUGUCUUUUUCAGCGAAGAAACUUUGCAUUUAUUGAAGUUAAAAUACUAUGAGCCACUUUAUAGGCUAUUCAAUAGCAUGAUUUAUCGCGACCCGAGUGCUUAUUUAUUCUUAUAUCUCCAUUUUAAAAUGUUGGGAGAAAAUAUUAAGUGAUCUUAUAAAGUUUUUACACGAUUAAAGACAAGCAAAAGCGCAACCGUCAAAAGUGAUAAAACCGUUAGACUCUCCACUCGAUUCUUUAUCGAAAUGAUGUAUGAGUUGUGACAGGUGACGUCGAGAUUGUCUCUAAACAACGUUUUUUCGUCAAAAAAAUAUGUCCGGUAACGAUGUUUUUUGCAAUUUGUAGCCAAACGGAACAACAGCCAUAAAAAAAGAUUGCGUUAAUACACUCACCGUUUAAUUUUCUAUCGGAUUCAAGUAUCAUAUGUGACAUCUGCUGUAUGGUUUGUCUCUAAUUGACGUUUUUCUGUUGCCGCCCCUCCGUUUUUUGCGUCAGUUUUUUGCAGAUUAGAGACAAACUAUAGCGUUUUAUCAAAUUCUGUUUGCGGCAUUGCUCUUAGCAUUAAAUUAUCUAUCGAAAUGAUGUAUAAUACAUGGCAUUUGAAAAAUUGACUUUUUCCCUGAUGGGGAACUGAUCCUCUAUCGAAUGGAUGUAUCACAUGUGACGGCAAAAUAAUUUAUAAUGUAAAAAAUACUCUAACCCUGACAUAAUGCACGCUAGAUACAGUUAAAAAAUUAACCUUUAAUUAAACUACAUACUUUGCACGUCAAUUAUAGUUUUUUUUUGUAAGUAUGUAUAAAUACUGUAUAUAACGUGCAUAGUUUAAUAGUUUUACAUAAGGUUAGUAAAAAACUGUAUUAGGCGUGCAAAUUAGCAUAGUUUUAGUAACAAGGUUAGGGUGGUGGUCAGGGUGCUGAGUUAGGGUGUUACUAUAUUGUCUAAUGUAUAAGUCCAAAAACGAAACUGUAUAUAGCGUUAACCUUUACGCACGAUACAAGAUUAGCUUUUCGUAGUUCUAUAUCUAGGUUAGAUACUCUGCAAACUCUGCAAUAAACUCUGCUAGAUACUCUGCAAACAGGGCGUAUCAGUACAUUGACCUACUUAAAUGCAAAAAAUAUAUUAGAUACAAUCGCAGCCGUCAUAUAUGUUGUUAUACACACAAGUGCUAACACUUUAGAAAAGAAACCUGACUAUUGUAUGAGUUCGUUCCGAUUUUAUUGUCCCUUUUUAAAAGGUACUGUACACAGGAUGCCGAAAUGGAAAAAAUCAACUACAGGGUUAUGUUUUACAAGCUAAAUCGUAUUCCAAACUUGACAGAAACUUUAAUAAUUAUUAAAGUUAUGGUACGCAACCUAACAAAAAAAAAAUUAUAUUUAUAACUUUUAUCUAUACUGAGAUACAGAAGCAAACGUGUUUUGGGUCCCGAAUUUGCACAUUAUAUACAUAAAUUGCCCA